ensembl:lncRNA
GGGCUCAGCUGCAAUUUUGCUGCCACAAAUGCAGAAGGCAUCAGCAGUUGUUGUUCAUCAGCGUCCUUUCCGAAGGACACAAAAAUUACAGCCAUAAACCUGGGAGCAGGAGGCAGUGGAUGAGCCACACCAGCCACAGAGGGAGCUGGGGUGUCGGGUUGGUUUGCUGCCUUCUGUGCUGUUAGUUUCGUGAUUAGAUCAAGGCUCCAAGACAUGGUUUUGUUGCUGGCUCUGGGGCAGGUUUGCUGUGUGACACUGGAUGCACGUCCUUCCUCAUCAACCCCAAGAAUUGCUGCUGUUUGCUUCUACAUCCAUGCAUCUUCAUCCACCAGUAUAUCUGAAUGCGAAGACAAGGCAGGAAAUCAUCCCCACAGAAUGGAAAGGAAGUGGCAGGAGGCUGGAAGAGAUCGUAGUGCACUACACUGAAGAGACUUGCCCAGACCUGACUUGGGAAGGACCGGGAUAGGAGGCACAGAAGGUACUGCCCUAGGAGAGCUUGUUGGGAUUCUCUCUCUCCCCUCACCCUCUACCCCUCCUUUAUUUUUUCUCCCUGUGCUGGAACAUUCACUAGAGUACUUGCUAACCUUCAGGUAACACUCUUGCAGGAAGAGGUACUGCAGAGCUCUGCAUGGCCCCACAGAUGGUCACAGAAUCAUGGAAUGGCUUGGGUUAGAAAGGACCUUAUACCUGGAUGCAGAGCUUUUCACCUCGUGGCUGGUUAUUCCAAAAGGAGUCCUGGUGAGCAGAAACCACCUCAUUAAAAUCCACGUUCUCAGGUCAAGUCAGGCCUUACAGCGCAGGGAUCCUCUCAAAACAGAUUAAAACCAGCAUCAUAAAAAUGUGAUUGUGCCUGCCUUAUUUAGCACCCCUAAUGCAACUCAGGACAAGCAAAUACUUAGAAGCAACCCGCAGUCCAGGUUUUAUACUACAGGCUGUAUCCCCUGGAUGGGGAAAUGCCCUGCUUCCAUCCUUUUAGGGGUUUUCAACUUUCCAUUCAGCAAUUCCUUCUGCACAUCCAUAGAUGAACUCUGAAAGAAGGCAGGAGGAGGAGAAAAGUCUCUCUGCAGAGUGCAGUAUUACAC